UGGGAUGCAGCUCAGCAGUAGAGCACUCGCCUGCUAUGCUUGAGGCCCUGGGUUCAAUACCCAGUACCCCUG
rnacentral:tRNA from 1 species